rnacentral:rRNA from 1 species
CCACGGGGGGCGCAAGCGUUAUUCGGAAUUAUUGGGCGUAAAGGGCGCGUAGGCGGUCUUGUCGGUCAGAUGUGAAAGCCCAGGGCUCAACCCUGGACGUGCAUUUGAAACAGCAAGACUUGAGUACGGGAGAGGAAAGCGGAAUUCCUGGUGUAGAGGUGAAAUUCGUAGAUAUCAGGAGGAACACCGAUGGCGAAGGCAGCUUUCUGGAUCGAUACUGACGCUGAGGCGCGAAGGCGUGGGUAGCGAACAGGAUUAGAAACCCCUGUAGUCC